rnacentral:rRNA from 1 species
GGGAGGUAGUGACAAUAAAUAACAAUACAGGGUCCUUUCGGGUCUUGUAAUUGGAAUGAGUACAAUUUAAAUCUCUUAACGAGGAACAAUUGGAGGGCAAGUCUGGUGCCAGCAGCCGCGGUAAUUCCAGCUCCAAUAGCGUAUAUUAAAGUUGUUGCAGUUAAAAAGCUCGUAGUUGAAUUUCGGGAUCAGUACGCUGGUCGUGCCUUCGGUAUGUACUGGUGUUACUGGUUUCUACCUUCUGACGAACCGUUAUGUCAUUCAUUUGGUGUGGCGGGAAAUCAGGACUGUUACUUUGAAAAAUUAGAGUGUUUAAAGCAGGCUCGCGCUUGAAUACAUUAGCAUGGAAUAAUGAAAUAGGACGUUUGAUCCUAUUUUGUUGGUUUCUAGGAUCGACGUAAUGAUUAAUAGGGAUAGUUGGG